CAGCAUGCUGAUUAAGGUUGCUUGGUUUUUUACUAAACAUUAACUGAAUGAAAACGGUAGUCCUUGUUCUGCUUGGGGGGCUUUAAGGAAGCAAAUGGACUUUCAGAACAGAGAUUGUCAAUAAAGGUCUCAGCAGCUUACUCAUGGAGAGGAGACAGCUCUGCUGCAAGAUUGUUUGUGUUUCUACAAUCUGAAGCACCAUACAAGAAACAGACUCUUUUCUCCUUGUGUAUCUGCAAACAGAAUGUCUGUGGGGAAGCAACCUUACAUCGAGAGAGACCUUGGGCAGGGAGAGGGAUGUGUACCAGAACUUGUAGAUCAUUCUAGAAAGCAUACAGGCAG
rnacentral:lncRNA from 1 species